rnacentral:rRNA from 1 species
CGUAGAUAGUAGGUGGGGUAAUGGCUCACCUAGGCGACGAUCCCUAGCUGGUCUGAGAGGAUGACCAGCCACACUGGAAAGUUCUCUGAGACACGGUCCAGACUCCUACGGGAGGCAGCAGUGGGGAAUAUUGCACAAUGGGCGCAAGCCUGAUGCAGCCAUGCCGGAAGCCGUGUGUGAAGGGCAAGGCCUUCGGGUUGUAAAGCACUUUCAGCGAGGAGGAAGGUGGUGAGCUUAAUACGUUCAUCAAUUGACGUUACUCGCAGAAGAAGCACCGGCUAACUCCGUGCCAGCAGCCGCGGUAAUACGGAGGGUGCAAGCGUUAAUCGCUGUUUGAAUUACUGGGCGUGCACCAAAGCGCACGCAGCUGCGGUUUGUUAAGUCAGAUGUGAAAUCCCCGGGCUCAACCUGGGAACUGCAUUUGAAACUGGCAAGCUAGAGUCUCGUAGAGCUUUGGGGGUAGAAUUCCAGGUGUAGCGGUGAAAUGCGUAGAUUGAUCUGGAGGAAUACCGGUGGCGA